rnacentral:rRNA from 1 species
UACAGAGGGUGCUAGCGUUGUUCGGAAUCAUUGGGCGUAAAGGGCGUGUAGGCGGUUUGUUAAGUCAUGUGUGAAAUCCCUCGGCUCAACCGGGGAACGACGCAUGAAACUGGCAAGCUAGAGUACCAAAGAGGGGGGUGGAAUUCCCGGUGUAGCGGUGAAAUGCGUAGAUAUCUGGAGGAACACCGGUGGCGAAGGCGGCAUCCUGGACCAACACUGACGCUGAGGAGCGAAAGCCAGGGGAGCAAACGGG